UAGACUUUAAAGGGGAACUGAAGUGAAAAAUGAAAAUCAUUUAAUUAGUAGUUUUCAUCGUGCUGAUUUCGAAUAUCGACACGAAAUUAGUGUUUUACUUUUCGUUUUCCUGCAUUUAACGCGGAAAGUGUGAAAUUUCUCCAUUUCCGUGGCGGAGAGGUCUGGAGACAAGUUUCAGGCGCUGACGUAAAGUCGUGGACACGUGCCCCGAACCUAACGAAAACAACAGUGUAGUAGAGUGAAUCGGAGGGAGGGAAUUUGGUUAGUAGGUAAAAUUUCAGAUCGCAAUUUUCACGACAGCUCUUCAGGAAUGACAACAGACUUAAGAUCGAGCGACGAUGAAGUGUUUGGAGCAUGUGGUGGUGAAGUACUUGCCCUACCAAGGGCGAACGGGACCUGCGAAAGUGGCGAUGAAGAUUAGCCUAGGCCCGAUGAGAUCCCAGAGGAUGAGGAUGAAUUAUCUCCCGCGACGUGCUCGUUUUGUUGGUAGAAAUGAGGAAGUAAAUAAAUGGUAUCUACAAACAGUGGCCGAUCAAUGUAUGGUUUGCUGGUUUUUGGGUAUUUGUGCUGGAAUAACUGGACAACUUUAAGUAUGCAUUUAUCACAAAUGUAAAGAAAAGAACUUUAGUCAAAGAAGACAAGAGUUUCAAAAUUCUGCAGAGAGACAAUGAAAAUGCAAAAAUCAGCUACCUACUACAUAUACAGUGGAGAACAUGGUUAUAUACACGGGGUUAUUCAAAAGGAUCAGACUUUUAGUUCAUAAUAGCAAGAAGAGAAAUUUGUUGAAACUAGUGGGACAAUGGCCAAAUCUUGUCAGCCCUAGGCCAAAUCACUAGAUUAGUCACAUCAAGGGGGGGGGGGGAUUGAGCAAGGCUUGAUAUUUUUAAGAUUCCUAAGGUGUACUUUUCAACAUAGUUCACUCACAUCAAAAUGUGUAGAAUAGUUUGGAUUUGAUCAAGAUUUUCUCUUACAAUAAUGGUCCUGUACCACCUUCUUGGUAACAUUUUUUAUAAAUAAUCAGAGGAAAAUGUUUUACCUUCAGGGUACAAUGUUCUGUUAAUGUAUUCUGUCACUGCCUGUUGUUUAGAUACACUGUUUUUAAAUUUUGAGAAUGAAGUUUUUUUGUGCCCAAUGGUUGUAUUUUUCUGAAAUUCGCUUCAACUCAACAUUUAAUAAACUUGGAAACAUAUACAUCAUUUAAUGGUUGUGCUUUAAAUCUUCCCCCUUUAUGUACAUCCUGGUAUGAAUUGUUUUUUAUGCCUGGAGUUAAAUCAGAAAGUGCUUUGAUAUCAUAUUCUGUAGACAAAGCAUGAGAAAUCAUGUUUGAAGGGGUAUUUCUGAAGUGGGGGACCACUUUUAUCAUUUUCUGCAAGUAAAUUGUGUUUGGUUUGCCAAGUUUCAUGGCUGUAUAGUUAACAUACUAACGUAUUCUGAGUACUGGGCACAAGUAUCAAGUCUAAAAAUAGUACAAGGGGCAUUUCUGAGGGUGGGGACCAUUCUUAUCAUUUUCAGCAAGCCAAAUUGUGUCGGUUUGCCAAGUUUCGUGGCUGUAUAGUUAACAGAAAUAGAUUGACCAUACUGACGUAUUUUGAGUACUGGGCACAAGUACCCCAGUCUAAAAAUAGCACAAGGGGCAUUUCUGAGGGUGGGGACCAUUCUUAUCAUUUUCAGCAAGUCAAAUUGUGUCGGUUUGCCAAGUUUCAUGGCUGUAUAGUUCACAGAAAUAGAUUGACCAUGCCAACAUAUUCUGAGUACUGGGCACAAGUACCCCAGGCUAAAAAUAGCACAAGGGUUUUUUUCCCAAAAUGGGUCUAUAUUCUAUCUUGUUACGCAUAUCGAAUUCUGUAUUUUCACCAAGUUUCAUGCUUUUAUCACAAUUUUCACGAUUGUUACCUGUCAUGAACCUUAUCAAACUCACUACUACAUUUCAUCAAAACAUCUCUUCGUGUCCACCACUUUACGUCACAAGGUCACGUGACACAGUGGUCUGACCGCGUUCUCGCUCCGCCAUCGAUGAGGGCAAAUUUCGACUUUAAAAACUUAAUAACUUAAAAACUACAUAACGUAUUUAAAAAAUUCAAACGGCUUUUGAAUCAGCACGGGAACCUUUAUCAGUGGUAAAAAAAUCGUUUUUCACUUCAGUUCCCCUU